GUGCAGAAAGCAGUUGCCAACCAAAGGAUCCACCUCCAUAAACUCCUCUUCCUCCUCCUGUCAGAUCUACAACUUUAGCACAGCCAUUAUCAACAUCAGCACUAUGAAAGACCAGCUUGGGCUGGAGUCAAGAAAAAGAAAAUGGACUAAAUGGUGCAGUAUCUGUUU